UACGUAGGUGGCAAGCGUUGUCCGGAUUUAUUGGGCGUAAAGAGCGUGUAGGCGGUUUGGUAGGUCCGCUGUGAAAACUCGAGGCUCAACCUCGAGACGCCGGUGGAAACCAUCAGACUGGAGUACGGAAGAGGAGAUUGGAAUUCCUGGUGUAGCGGUGAAAUGCGCAGAUAUCAGGAGGAACACCAACAGCGAAGGCAGAUCUCUGGGACGUUACUGACGCUGGAGACGCGAAAGCGUGGGGAGCAAACAGG
rnacentral:rRNA from 1 species